rnacentral:rRNA from 1 species
CUCGUAGGCGGUUUGAUAAGUCGGGUGUGAAACCUCCAGGCUCAACCUGGAGCCGCCACUCGAUACUGUCAUGACUAGAAUUCGGUAGGGGACCACGGAAUUCCUGGUGUAGCGGUGAAAUGCGCAGAUAUCAGGAGGAACACCAGCAGCGAAGGCGGUGGUCUGGGCCGACAUUGACGCUGAGGAGCGAAAGCGUGGGGAGCGAACAGGAUUAGAUACCCUGGUAGUCCACGCCGUAAACGUUGGGCACUAGGUGUGGGGACUAUUCAACGGUUUCCGUGCCGCAGCUAACGCAUUAAGUGCCCCGCCUGGGGAGUACGGCCGCAAGGCUAAA